rnacentral:rRNA from 1 species
CCCUUAGAUGUUCUGGGCUGCACGCGCGCUACACUGAUACCUUCAGCGAGUCCACCACCUUGCCUGGGAGGGUGGGGUAACCUCUGGAAAGUGCAUCGUGAUGGGGAUCGAUUAUUGUAAUUAUUAAUCUUCAACGAGGAAUUCCUAGUAAGCAUGUGUCAUCAGCCCGUGCUGAUUACGUCCCUGCCCUUUGUACACACCGCCCGUCGCACCUACCGAUUGGAUGGUCCGGUGAAGCCUCGGGAUUGUGGUUCUUGCCGCUUUAUUGUGGCGUGACCGCGAGAACUUGUCUAAACCUUAUCAUCUAGAGGAAGGUGAAGUCGUAACA